CUCGACAAGGGACACCACAUCAUCUGUGACAACUUCUUCAGCAGUCCGUCUCUCUGCCAUGAUCUCUUCGACAGGGAGACGUUCUGCACAGGAGUUGUCGCCGUCCGGAGGAAGGGAAUGCCGAGCUCCUUUGUUGGGAAAAGACCACCCAGGGGCUCGACAAUUGUGAGAAGACAGGGUCCACUGCUGGCAGUGCUCUUUUUCAGACAGGAGGGUCUUCACAAUUUUAUCUACCAUGGGUAGUCCAAGAAUGGAAGAUGGGCUUAACUCACGGGGCCGGUCUGUCACUCUCCCCUCAGUCGUAAGACUAUACAACACCUUGAUGGGGGGAGUUGACCUUGGGGAUCAACUCAUUGCUGUAUAUGAUCCCUCAAGUCCGCUCCAUGAAGCUGUGGAAGAAAAUUUUAAUCAACUUUCUUCUCACAGCUUCAGUUAAUGCCUAUCAGACCUUCAUGAACACCCAUGGUAGGGCUGA